rnacentral:tRNA from 1 species
AGAGACUUAGGAUAAUAUUCAGACCAAGGGCCUUCAAAGCCCUCAGUAGGAGUGAAAAUCUCCUAGUCCCUG